rnacentral:lncRNA from 1 species
AGCUUCUCCCUCGAAACUCCCAGCCACAAGGGCAUGCUAUUUGUUCCUUUAUAUACUCAUUUCGUAUAAGGGCGGUGGCAAAUUGAUAUCUUCAUUUACUGAUUUUGUUCAUUGAUGUUGCAUCUAGCUUCAAGAGUUAGAGUGAUCUGCACACAUCAUAAUUCAGUAUAUAAGCGCAAUGUCUGAGCUACGAGAAACGGUUCCACUCAGCGAAGUGUUUCUCGAGAUAUCUAAUUCCUACUCCCGCAAAAGAAUCCAAAAUCACAUGGCUCAGCCCAGUGAAUGGAGCAACCCAAACUUCACACCUAAAUGCAAAGAGGAAGUGCGUACGCCACCGCUGACGCAGCCGCUUACGCCACUGUAACUUACCCCGCAUUCACUCUGACACCCACAAUCCGUGGAUAUGACAUAUUAUCACUAUCCUAAAUCUGAAAGCCGCGUCUAAAUCCUAUAUCGAGCUUGCCACUGUGGUAUUCACCAGCAUAAUCCGUCAUGUGAUUAACGAAACAGGGCCUUGGGCAUAUCCCAGUGAAUGGAGCAACCCAGACUUCACAUGUACCAGGUUGGUUAGGUUAAAUAUUUCCCUCGCAAAGUGACUGGCUGCAUGAUAUGAACAUAUAUGCGAGUCACGUAGGGUAUAUCGCAUUGUUACUUUGAAAUAGACGUUGUCUUUCAAUCAUAAGGUUUUGAAGUCAAUUGCCGGGGAGUACCGUUGGUUGUGGGGUGGUGGCAGCGGAAGACAUCAUGACUGCCCUGAGAAAGGUCAAUAGUGGAAGAAAUGAAGAAAAUGAAGACAGAAGAGUCAGAAGUGCGGGCGGACGCCUCUUUAUAGCCCUCGAGCUCAGGAGUUCGACAUCCUGGGAUACUGAAACCUGAGCUCCGCCUGCGCAGCCACAAUCAACUAGGAAAUCAACCAUUGCAGCGGUGAUACAGAUAGGCGAAGGGCAACCAAUAGAGGCUAGCUAUCAGUCCAUGUCAGUUAAGAUCCUACCAAUAGAUCUUACUUCAAAUGUCUACUUAUAGUUAAAAACAACCUUUCAAACAUCCUUGAACUGCUAGACUGUCAGACGAUAGUAUUCUUUGCUUAGACCUAUUAUGAGGCAUUGGCCUCCAAUUUCCAGGGAGCGGGAACC